rnacentral:piRNA from 1 species
UAAGUCUUUUGUGGGCCUCUGGUUAC